rnacentral:rRNA from 1 species
UACGUAGGGUGCGAGCGUUAAUCGGAAUUACUGGGCGUAAAGCGUGCGCAGGCGGUUUUGUAAGCCAGAUGUGAAAUCCCCGGGCUUAACCUGGGAAUGGCAUUUGGGACUGCAAGGCUGGAGUGUGGUAGGGGAGACUGGAAUUCCUGGUGUAGCGGUGGAAUGCGCAGAUAUCAGGAGGAACACCGAUGGCGAAGGCAGGUCUCUGGGCCACUACUGACGCUGAGAAGCGAAAGCAUGGGGAGCGAACAGG